rnacentral:lncRNA from 1 species
CAGCGGCUCACCUGGCCUCAGAAGUGCGAUCUGAGCUCCGCUUUGGGCCGCGUUUUUUUGAGGUGCGCAGGCGCCGUUCUGUACGUCUCUCCUGACUACGCUCCAAGAUUAAAACUUGCAGGCCUGUGUGUGUGUGUGUGUGUGUGUGUGUGUGUGUAUGUGAGUAGAGUGGUUAUCUGAUUAACUCUAUGAUAGGAAGUGAAAUUAAACUGACCAUCAUUAAUUGAGGUGUCACUUAAGAACUCCGUUUUUCCCCAUUUUUGCAGCCUACUUUUACAGUACGGGAAAGUAAAGUACCGCUGAAUUGCGGAUGAAAGGAGGGAGUCAACCUUGCCCUAGGGAAAGGAAGGGGUGGGUGGCCUUAAUUUACUGUCUAGAGUCUAAUACUAAGACUCAGUAACAUUUGUAUAAUCCAAUUAAUGUUUCUUUGUAACUACAAGCAUGAAUGUUUUUAACAUGUAGCCACCUUGAAGUUUGUCUUGGUGAAGCAGAGUUUGGAAUGAGUGUUGGGACUGUCAGGCUGUGUCCUCCUGUUCCAAAGUGCUUGGGACUGCAAGUAUUUUGGAUUUCAGAAUAUUUUCAUGUACAUAAUGAGACAAUUUGGGAUAGUACACAAAUUUAAAGCCAAAAUUCAUUUAUGUUUCAUAUAUACCUUAUGCAUAUAUAUAUUAUAUAUUACUUUAAAUAAUUUUAUUCAUAAAACAAAAUUUCAUAAUGUGGAAUAACUUACAUGUGAUGUCUUGUUGGUGUUCAAAAAAGUUAAGAUUCUGAAACAUUUCAGAUUUCUGCUUUUUAGAUAAGGGAUGCCCAACAUAUACUUUUGUACGUGAGACCAGCAGCUUUAGCAUCCUCUGUACUCUCACUAAAAAAAAAAAAAAAAAAAAAAAUUCUUGGGCCCCAUCUCAGACUUAUCCAAAUCAAAGAUGUUGUGUCCUCCAAAAACCAAAAAAAAAAUUAAAAUUCUCUCUCUCUCUCUCUCUCUCUCUCUCUCUCUCCCCUCCCUCUCUCUCUGUCUCUCUCUCUAGGAAAAAAAAAUAACUUUGGGUUUAGGACCCAAUGAUCUGUUUUAACAAGCUCUUUAGGUGAUUCUGAUGUACCCAAAUUUUGAAAACUACUGAGCUAAACGGACUUCUGCUUAACCAAGUUAUAGAAAUGGGCUGGAGAAGGUGAUACAUACAGCUCCACUGAAGAGAGAGGAGAGACCAAGACUUUGAUCCUUACACUGAUCAAAAAGACACCAGGAAAGUAGUUUGGGACUGAUAUGGGAAUGAGUCCCUGGAACUAAUUUUCGUUCUGGUAUUCCUAGAUGAAAAUAUCUGCAAAUUGUAAAGAUUUCUCAACUACUAAUAAUCACAAAACUAUAUUUAAUAAUUUUUGUAUUACCUGAUGUUUUUCUGCUAAUAUUUUUC